UGGAUCCAGACUUUGAUCAUGGCUCAGGAUGAACGCUAGCGGCAGGCUUAACACAUGCAAGUCGAGGGGCAGCGGAGAGGAAGCUUGCUUUCUCUGCCGGCGACCGGCGCACGGGUGAGUAACACGUAUGCAACCUGCCCUUCUCAGGGGGACAACCCGCCGAAAGGCGGGCUAAUCCCGCGUAUAUGCUCCGGAGGCAUCUCUGGAGCAGGAAAACUUCGGUGGAGAAGGAUGGGCAUGCGGCGCAUUAGCUAGUUGGCGGGGUAACGGCCCACCAAGGCGACGAUGCGUAGGGGUUCUGAGAGGAAGGUCCCCCACACUGGUACUGAGACACGGACCAGACUCCUACGGGAGGCAGCAGUGAGGAAUAUUGGUCAAUGGUCGGGAGACUGAACCAGCCAAGCCGCGUGAAGGAAGACGGCGCUCAGCGUUGUAAACUUCUUUUGUCAGGGAACAAAAGGCGUCACGUGUGACGCUCUGAGUGUACCUGAAGAAAAAGCAUCGGCUAACUCCGUGCCAGCAGCCGCGGUAAUACGGAGGAUGCGAGCGUUAUCCGGAUUUAUUGGGUUUAAAGGGUGCGUAGGCGGCAUGUUAAGUCAGCGGUAAAAGCCCGGGGCUCAACCCCGGCGAGCCGUUGAAACUGGCGUGCUAGAGACGGCGAGAGGUAUGCGGAAUGCGCAGUGUAGCGGUGAAAUGCAUAGAUAUUGCGCAGAACUCCGAUUGCGAAGGCAGCAUACUGGCGCCGGACUGACGCUGAGGCACGAAAGCGUGGGGAUCAAACAGGCUUAGAUACCCUGGUAGUCCACGCAGUAAACGAUGAAUGCUGGCUGUGUGGCCCGACAGAGGGCUGCGUGGCGUAGCGAAAGCGUUAAGCAUUCCACCUGGGGAGUACGCCGGCAACGGUGCAACUCAAAUGAAUUGACGGA
rnacentral:rRNA from 1 species